UAUUUAUAGAUGUAAGAUGCAUAAAAGAUUUUGAAACUUUAAGGAGUAGUUUAAUUCUACUAUAAAUAA
rnacentral:tRNA from 1 species